rnacentral:misc_RNA from 1 species
UUAAGUUCAGCGGGUAUUCCUACCUGAUCCGAGGUCAACCUGAAUAGAAAUUGUGACGGCGCAGGCGGCCCUUCUCGCCAGCGAAUUGAUUCACAACGCUGAGAUACGGACCGUCCAGCCGGUGAAAUUGGGGCGGGAGAAUCCCUCCUCGCCCAAUACCAAGCCAGGCUUGAGUGGUGUAAUGACGCUCGAACAGGCAU